GCAAGAUUAAAACUCAAAGGAAUAGACGGGGAUCCGCACAAGCGGUGGAGCAUGUGGUUUAAUUCGACGAUACGCGAAGAACCUUACCUGGCCUUGACAUAGAAAGAACUUUCCAGAGACGGAUUGGUGCUAGUUUACUAGAGCUUUCAUACAGGUGCUGCACGGCUGUCGUCAGCUCGUGUCGUGAGAUGUUGGGUUAAGUCCCGCAACGAGCGCAACCCUCGUGUUUAGUUACUAACAGUUCGGCUGAGGACUCUAAACAGACUGCCUGGGUAACCAGGAGGAAGGUGAGGACGACGUCAAGUCAUCAUGGCCCUUACGGCCAGGGCUACACACGUGCUACAAUGGGGUAUACAAAGAGCUGCAAUACGGUGACGUGGAGCAAAUCCCAUAAAAUAUCUCCCAGUUCGGAUUGAAGUCUGCAACUCGACUUCAUGAAGUUGGAAUCGCUAGUAAUCGUAGAUCAGCAAUGCUACGGUGAAUACGUUCCCGGGUCUUGUACUCACCGCCCGUCACACCAUGGGAAUUGAAUUCAUUCGAAGCGGGGAUGCUAAAAUAGCUACCUUCCACAGUGGAUUUAGUAACUAGGGUGAAGUCGUAACAAGGUA
rnacentral:rRNA from 1 species